AGAAUCAACGCUGGCGGCGUGCCUAACACAUGCAAGUCGCACGAGAAAGGGACUUCGGUCCUGAGUACAGUGGCGCACGGGUGAGUAACACGUGAAUAAUCUACCUCCGAGUGGGGAAUAACUGAGAGAAAUCUUAGCUAAUACCGCAUAACACUUACGAGUCAAAGCAGCAAUGCGCUUGGAGAGGAGUUCGCGGCAGAUUAGUUAGUUGGCGGGGUAAUGGCCCACCAAGACGAUGAUCUGUAUCCGGCCUGAGAGGGGCGCGACGGACGACGACCUGGAACUGAAACACGGUCCAGACUCCUACGGGAGGCAGCAGUGGGGAAUUUUGCGCAAUGGGGGAAACCCUGACGCAGCAACGCCGCGUGGAGGAUGAAAUCCCUUGGGAUGUAAACUCCUUUCGAUCGGGAAGAUAAUGACGGUACCGAGAGAAGAAGCCCCGGCUAACUUCGUGCCAGCAGCCGC
rnacentral:rRNA from 1 species